rnacentral:snoRNA from 1 species
GGAAUCUGAUGAAUAAAAUUGGUCCGUGUUUCUGAACCAUCCGUGACAGAAAUUGAUACCGUUUUUCUGAUUCC